AGAGUUUGAUCAUGGCUCAGGAUGAACGCUGGCGGCGUGCUUAACACAUGCAAGUCGAACGAGGUCCAACCUUCGGGUGAAGACCGAGUGGCGAACGGGUGAGUAACACGUGGGGAACCUGCCCUUCUCUCUGGGAUAACCUCGGGAAACCGAAGCUAAUACCGGAUACUCCUUGCGGACCGCAUGGUCUGCUCGGGAAAGCUCCGGCGGAGAAGGAUGGCCCCGCGGCCCAUUAGCUUGUUGGUGGGGUAACGGCCCACCAAGGCGACGAUGGGUAGCCGAGCUGAGAGGCUGAUCGGCCACACUGGGACUGAGACACGGCCCAGACCCCUACGGGAGGCAGCAGUGGGGAAUCUUGCGCAAUGGGCGAAAGCCUGACGCAGCAACGCCGCGUGCGGGAUGAAGGCUCUCGGGUCGUAAACCGCUUUCAGCAGGGAUGAAAAUGACAGUACCUGCAGAAGAAGCCCCGGCUAAAUACGUGCCAGCAGCCGCGGUAAUACGUAUGGGGCAAGCGUUAUCCGGAUUUAUUGGGCGUAAAGCGCGCGUAGGCGGCUUGUUAAGUCAGGCGUGAAAUCCGGGGGCUCAACCCGCGGCUUGCGUCUGAAACUGGCAGGCUUGAGUCUGGUAGAGGAAAGUGGAAUUCCUGGUGUAGCGGUGAAAUGCGCAGAUAUCAGGAGGAACACCAGUGGCGAAGGCGGCUUUCUGGGCCACGACUGACGCUGAGGCGCGAAAGCUAGGGGAGCGAGCAGGAUUAGAUACCCUGGUAGUC
rnacentral:rRNA from 1 species